GGGGAGAAUCCUUAGGGAGGAGGAUCUUUGAGGACCACAAAGGAGAGAAUAAUGAAGCAGACUCCUGGGGAGAGAGAAUUAUGGAUGCAAGGUGCCACAUCUUUGUCAUCUGAGCAGAGGAUUUGUGGCAAAUGGGUGUGAUCAAGGCCUUGGGCUAACAUGAAGCCAAGCUCUGUCAGUGUACGUGGUCUUCUGGAACUCAGCAUCAGGGAUGCCCUUGUUUUAGAGACAUUCAGCCCUCCAGGUGGAUCAGUCGUCAGCCUGUUGGAAGUUUCUAUCGAGAUAGGGAAUUUGCUGACUGGUAUUGUCACAUCUGUGUUCUUUUAAUGACCUGUGUAACAGUUUCAGAGUGAUUGAGUAGGGCCUGAAUUAUUUACUUUUCUUAUUCUACUUCACAGAACUUGGUUGUGUUUUCCUUCAAAGAGGUGUUUGUCUAACUCACGUAUAAGGAGAAAGUUUCUUAAAGAUUGGGUUUGUGUUGUGGCAUAGAAUUCAAUUUUAUAAAUAUUUCAACAGACACUUAUCUCUUUUGAUGCCGUGCUGGUGGGUGUUGCAAAGUUGGCCUAUGGUUGCUAUAUGUGAAGCCUGAAGGAGGAAAUCUUGUUUCUCUGGAAGGGUGAGAAUGAAAUUGGAUGCAAUGUCACUCCAGGUGAACAGAACAGCUUUUGGUAAGGAGAACGCGAGUAUAAAAUGCUCAUAUAGAUUAAGUCAAGACACGUAGGAGAAGCAGUGACAUAUUUAAGGUGGUUUAUGUCAAACUUCUGUAAAAAUACACAAUGAACCCAGGUAUGUAUGGUAUCACCUUUGACUGUCUGUUGCUUGCUGCCUCUCCUGGGCACAAUUCAUAUGUAUAAAUACACCAAAGUGCUAUAUCCCGUGGAAGCAAAAACAGAUGGCAUGGUUCAGUGUUAUAUGUGUUUCUGAAGCACUCUGUAACAGCAUUAAUUGACCUAAAAGCCAGUCUGUGAUGUCUGUCAGGAUGCAGAAUGUAUUUUGGUAGCUUUCUCCCUCCAAUGUUGUGCCUGUAGGUCCUACCACUUAGUAUUUUGUUGCUUCCAAAUGUAAAUCAAAAGGCCAAAGAGUAAAACUGGAGGAGAUAUUGCUUGUCUCAAGGGGUCAGAAAACCUUUCCACAUUAAUAAAUGGAUUGCAGACUAUGCAUCCUAGAUAACUCUCUGGCUAAGUCAUGAAAUAGUUAUUUUUUGAAUACUGAUUUCCAUUUCUAUGGAAUUGUGGUAAGUUUGAGGGGCUUUUUUUUCUGAAGUAACUACUUCAUUAUAGACAGUGUAAUGAAGUAGUUAUUUGUAGUGAAUGCUAUCUGCAUGGCUGAAAGGCAGUGGGUUAAACCUGGAAGUUUCAGUUUACUUUUCUUUGUGAAGCUUGCUGCUUUGGUUUUUCACUCGUAUACUGUGCUAUUUCAGCUCUCAGGAAUCUUUCAGAAUCCAAGAACUUGACAGAAUAGCAGCUCUGCUUUCAUCCUUUGUGACAUGACAUCAAAAAAUUCAGAUUUAGUUUCAAUUUUUCUGUGUAUUUUGGCCACUUCAGAAGGAAUAAGCAGUGGUUCAGGUAUUCAGUUGCUGAAAUUAGUUCAUUAAUUUCCACCUAAAAAUUAAAUGGAAGUGAAUGUCCAUAUUUCCCAAGACCAUGAGAAGUUGGUCAUAGCCAGAGGGUUUGACUAAUAAUUGAGCUUGUGGUGAACAAAAAUAAACUAUUGCAAGAUGCCUUAAAGCUGUGGAAGCUAUUAAGACAAAAUUUCUGUUAGGCUUUCCUGCUGGAACAUCAAAUUCCCCCAAACUGAAAACUGUUGCUCUUGAGACCCCUCAGGAGAACAGUGAAUUAAGGUCUCUAUUUGCUGCAUGGUACUGAUGCAGGAUUUUGGGAAAUGGAAAGUAUUAGCAUUGUAUUCAUUACUAUAGUAAGAAAACAAUGAAAAUAUUCAGGCAAAGCAUGGAAAAAAAAGCGAAACUUGGUUUCAGUCAUGGGUUUUCAGAAGAUAGUCAUGGAAGAUAAAAAAGUUUUUUAGCAUAUCAAACUGAAUGCUUGGCAACUGUUGGUCUUGAGCAAUUCUGAAUUUUUAUACAGUGCUGAAGAUGCAUCUGAGACUAACAAUUCCUUUGAAGGGUCUGAGCUUCCUAUGGCUGUUGGAAGAAACCAAAUAUUUGGUUUCAGUAGCUUUAGUGCAUGUUCUUCUGUGUGGGCCAAGCAAAGUCCCAGUUCCCUGAGCUGUAAUUUGCUGGCAGCAACACUUUGAUGUUUCCUCAGAAGAAGUAAGGAAAAGUCUGCCUAAAACUCAAUUUUGUGAGUUGGAACUUUUGUUCCUGGAAGACAUCAAUGCAAAUAUCUGAGUAUUUUACUUUCUAUCAAAAAAUGUGGGCUGAAUUGACAUCCUCCUGGAAUAAAUCAAGUCUAUAUAUGCUAUCAUAAAAAGAACUACAGGAAUUUUUGGUUCUUGGCACAAAGCCAUGCAAAAGGUGCCUGAAUCUUUCUUUUACUUUAACUGCAUUCUUUCCAUAACACUUGAUCAAGAUAAACUCCCCAUUUUUUUGUUAUUGGCCAAAAGUCUAUAAUUUGAUUUUCAAAUACAUGAUUUGUUGCCAAGCUCCUCUAUUUAUCUUUUGGUCAUAUUUUCUUCAGUUAUGCAAUAAAUAUUUAAUUACAACCGUCACUGAAAGUUUUCUGCUUUACUUUUGUCUUGGGUACCUGUGUUGAAGAACCCAUGACAAGUAAUUGAAGUAGUAUCUAAUACCUGAUGCAUUAUCCCGUGUGAUGUGCUGGGGUUUACUUGUUUCAAGAAGCCCACCUCUCCAUUUGACUGUAAUUCACAUUUUCUAAUAUAGACUUUAAUUUCACUGUAGAAGUCCCUAAUUUCCCAGGUAUGAACUUGGUUUCUCUUCAUAGGUUAUUCUCUGUUCACCCCAAUGUGGCUGAGGAUGGAAAAGAGCAAUAGCCUCAAAAUGUGGCUGUGAGCUAGACUACCUGUUUUUGUAGUUAUAAAGAUAUUUCUGAUUGCUUUGGAUAUCUCUAGUAUGUUUUAGCUUGUAUCAGUAUGGACUCCUAAACACCAACUGUAAUGAAGUCCAAAUGUAAUGCACUGUAGAAAAUAUUUUAAUUGCCUUUAUCUAAGCUUUCCUCCUUCUGUUCCCCACUGUUAUAUCCUGGGGUUUUGUGAUAACUGGCUUCCUAUUCUUCCCUCCCCUGUCUCUCACCUAUCUUGAUUUAGAGAGAAAUAUUUUUUUACCUUUAUCUGUUUUGCAAAAUUUUUCCUAUCCACUGUCUAAAUAUACUUCUAAUUUCCUUUUAAGAUAAUACCCAAAUACAUAAACUACUUUCUUUUUUUUUUAGUGAUCUGGUAUCCUGGAGUUUUACUCCUGCCACCAUUGGUUACAUCAAUUCCACCUUCACUUGUAUAUAUGUGCACCUAUUCCCACCUGCAGUAGAUCAGAUUCAUGUUGUAAAUCAGUAGACUUACAUAUGAGAUGUGGAGACAGGAGGGUCAUUAGUUUAGAAGAUUCAAUUCUACAGCCUAAAUGAUGUAAUGAUUUCC